UACAAUGUACGUUUCUGAGGGUAAU
rnacentral:piRNA from 1 species